UGUUGAAGAAUAGACUUUUUUAUUUUAUUUGUGUUGGCACUCUUGAAAUCAUAGAUUUGGGGUACUGUUGAUUUAUAUUGGAGAGAAAAAAAAAUGUCACCUUUAAGGCAGAGUGCUAGUUCAUCUGCAUCAGAUGAUGAUCAAAGGUAUGCAGGAAUGGAUGAGAAGAAGAGGAAAAGGAUGAUUUCCAACAGGGAAUCUGCGAGGCGAUCGAGGAUGAAGAAGCAGAAGCUUCUGCAAGAUUUG
rnacentral:misc_RNA from 1 species